rnacentral:rRNA from 1 species
GACGAACGCUGGCGGCGUGCUUAACACAUGCAAGUCGAACGGAAAGGCCCUGCUUUUGUGGGGUGCUCGAGUGGCGAACGGGUGAGUAACACGUGAGUAACCUGCCCCUGACUUUGGGAUAACUUCAGGAAACUGGGGCUAAUACCGGAUAGGAGCUCCUGCUGCAUGGUGGGGGUUGGAAAGUUUCGGCGGUUGGGGAUGGACUCGCGGCUUAUCAGCUUGUUGGUGGGGUAGUGGCUUACCAAGGCUUUGACGGGUAGCCGGCCUGAGAGGGUGACCGGCCACAUUGGGACUGAGCUACGGCCCAGACUCCUACGGGAGGCAGCAGUGGGGAAUAUUGCACAAUGGGCGGAAGCCUGAUGCAGCAACGCCGCGUGCGGGAUGACGGCCUUCGGGUUGUAAACCGCUUUCGCCUGUGACGAAGCGUGAGUGACGGUAAUGGGUAAAGAAGCACCGGCUAACUACGUG